rnacentral:rRNA from 1 species
AGUGAACGCUGGCGGUAGGCCUAACACAUGCAAGUCGAACGGCAGCACAGUAAGAGCUUGCUCUUACGGGUGGCGAGUGGCGGACGGGUGAGGAAUACAUCGGAAUCUACUUUUUCGUGGGGGAUAACGUAGGGAAACUUACGCUAAUACCGCAUACGACCUACGGGUGAAAGCAGGGGAUCUUCGGACCUUGCGCGAUUGAAUGAGCCGAUGUCGGAUUAGCUCGUUGGCGGGGUAAAGGCCCACCAAGGCGACGAUCCGUAACGGGUCUGAGAGGAUGGACCGCCACACUGGAACUGAGACACGGUCCAGACUCCUACGGGAGGCAGCAGUGGGGAAUAUUGGACGAUGGGCGCAAGCCUGAUCCAGCCAUACCGCGUGGGUGAAGAAGGCCUUCGGGUUGUAAAGCCCUUUUGUUGGGAAAGAAAAGCAGCAGGUUAAUACCCCGCUGUUCUGACGGUACCCAAAGAAUAAGCACCGGCUAACUUCGUG